rnacentral:rRNA from 1 species
UAGGGAAUCUUCCACAAUGGACGCAAGUCUGAUGGAGCAACGCCGCGUGAGUGAAGAAGGUUUUCGGACCGUAAAGCUCUGUCGUUGGUGAAGAAGGAUAGAGGUAGUAACUGGCCUUUAUUUGACGGUAAUCAACCAGAAAGUCACGGCUAACUACGUGCCAGCAGCCGCGGUAAUACGUAGGUGGCAAGCGUUGUCCGGAUUUAUUGGGCGUAAAGCGAGCGCAGGCGGAAGAAUAAGUCUGAUGUGAAAGCCCUCGGCUUAACCGAGGAAUUGCAUCGGAAACUGUUUUCUUGAGUGCAGAAGAGGAGAGUAGAACUCCAUGUGUAGCGGUGGAAUGCGUAGAUAUAUGGAAGAAUACCAGUGGCGAAGGCGGCUCUCUGGUCUGCAACUGACGCUGAGGCUCGAAAGCAUGGGUAGCGAACAGGAUUAGAUACCCUGGUAGUCCAUGCCGUAAACGAUGAGUGCUAAGUGUUGGGAGGCUUCCGCCUCUCAGUGCUGCAGCUAACGCAUUAAGCACUCCGCCUGGGGGAGUACGACCGCAAGGUUGAAAC